AGCAGUAGCCGCGGUAAUACAGAGGGUGCGAGCGUUAAUCGGAUUUACUGGGCGUAAAGCGUGCGUAGGCGGCUUCUUAAGUCGGAUGUGAAAUCCCUGAGCUUAACUUAGGAAUUGCAUUCGAUACUGGGAAGCUAGAGUAUGGGAGAGGAUGGUAGAAUUCCAGGUGUAGCGGUGAAAUGCGUAGAGAUCUGGAGGAAUACCGAUGGCGAAGGCAGCCAUCUGGCCUAAUACUGACGCUGAGGUACGAAAGCAUGGGGAGCAAACAGGAUUAGAGACCCCAGUAGUCCCUGUCUCUUAUAA
rnacentral:rRNA from 1 species